rnacentral:rRNA from 1 species
CCUACGGGUGGCAGCAGUGGGGAAUAUUGGACAAUGGGGGAAACCCUGAUCCAGCGACGCCGCGUGAGUGAAGAAGUAUCUCGGUAUGGUAAGCCCCAUCAGCAGGAAAGAAAAUGACGGUACCUGACUAAGAAGCCCCGGCUAACUACGUGCCAGCAGCCGCGGGAACACGGAGGGGGCAAGCGUUAUCCGGAUUUACUGGGGGUAAAGGGAGCGUAGACGGCAGCGCAAGUCUGGAGUGAAAUGCCGGGGCCCAACCCCGGAACUGCCCUGGAAACUGUGAGGCUGGAGUGAAGGAGAGGUAAGCGGAAUGCCUGGUGUAGCGGUGAAAUGCGUAGAUAUCAGGAGGAACACCGGCGGCGAAGGCGGCUUACUGGACUGUAACUGACGUUGAGGCUCGAAGGCGUGGGGAGCAAACAGGAUUAGAUACCCGAGUAGUC